GAUGAACGCUGGCGGCGUGCCUAAUACAUGCAAGUCGAGCGAACAGACGAGGAGCUUGCUCCUCUGACGUUAGCGGCGGACGGGUGAGUAACACGUGGAUAACCUACCUAUAAGACUGGGAUAACUUCGGGAAACCGGAGCUAAUACCGGAUAAUAUAUUGAACCGCAUGGUUCAAUAGUGAAAGACGGUUUUGCUGUCACUUAUAGAUGGAUCCGCGCCGCAUUAGCUAGUUGGUAAGGUAACGGCUUACCAAGGCAACGAUGCGUAGCCGACCUGAGAGGGGGAGCCGCAACAGUGGAACUGAGACCCGGUCCAGACUCCCAGGGGAGGCAGCAGUGGGGAACUUUCCGAAAGGGGCGAAAGCCUGACGGAGCAACGCCGGGGGGGUGAAGAAGGUUUUCGGAUCGUAAAACCUUUUUUUUGGGGAAAAAAAAAUGGGAAAGUAACUAUGCACGUUUGGACGGAACCUAAUCAGAAAGCCACGGUUAACUACGU
rnacentral:rRNA from 1 species